UUAAUAGCCGUGUUUCGAGUUACUCCGGAACACAGUGUUUAUUCUGUGUUUAGUCACGCCGCGUCAAAAAUGUUCCACAGGGUUACUUCCGGUUUAUCGUUGUUUACCUUUGUUUACCAACAGUCGACACUUCGUGUAUUAGGCCUAGGCUUAAUUUUGUCGAUCAUCAUGAAAUUGAAAUACACAUUUAAUAGUUUGGGGUGUAUGCGGUACAUAUUUGUUUAUGAGCGUUUGAUAAGCUACUAUUGAUCUACGAAAUACAACGAAAGACUUCGUCAAGAACAGAAGACGAUGUCGUGUAACUCACACAAGGCCCGGCCCAGCUGUCUAGUAACCGGAGGGGUAAAGGAAAAGAACGUAUUAGACUCACUGAAACCUGUCAAACUGGUUAAUGGGAACAGGAUAAUUUUCCAUGCCUUUCACUUGAGGUCUUCAGUUUCAUCAUUAAUCAUCUGAAUGUCGGUAUGCCAAACUCUCAUGAUGUCAUGCCAUUACUGGAUAUUCCUUAACACUGGUUUAUUUAAACCACACUACCUAUAACAUUGCCAAAUAUUAGACUGAAAAUUUUCAAAUACACAAGAUUUGAAGCAGCAAAAGAAAAGAAUUACAUAUGUAUAACACACAAAAAAGAAGAAAUUAAUUCUCACCUGGCUGAUAUGAACUUUUUACUCCUUUUUAGCUCCCUUUCACUGCAUACCAGCCAAUAACUAGCAGUCAUUAUAUGCAGAUCAGCCAUUGUUAUCAACCUGUGUAUAUAUAUGUUGAAUAAAAUAUGAAUGAAAA